rnacentral:rRNA from 1 species
ACGUAGGUGGCAAGCGUUGUCCGGAUUUACUGGGUGUAAAGGGCGUGUAGGCGGGAUCACAAGUCGGAAGUGAAAUCCCCGGGCUUAACCCGGGAACUGCUUCUGAAACUGUGGUUCUUGAGUACUGGAGAGGAAAGCGGAAUUCCUAGUGUAGCGGUGAAAUGCGUAGAUAUUAGGAGGAACACCAGUGGCGAAGGCGGCUUUCUGGACAGAAACUGACGCUGAGGCGCGAAAGCGUGGGGAGCAAACAG